AAAACGACUCUCAGCAACGGAUAUCUCGGCUCUCGCAUCGAUGAAGAACGUAGCGAAAUGCGAUACUUGGUGUGAAUUGCAGAAUCCCGUGAACCAUCGAGUCUUUGAACGCAAGUUGCGCCCGAAGCCUUUAGGCCGAGGGCACGCCUGCCUGGGCGUCACA
rnacentral:rRNA from 1 species